GCUCCCUGAGAUUAGCGGCGGACGGGUGAGUAACACGUGGGCAACCUGCCUAUAAGACUGGGAUAACUUCGGGAAACCGGAGCUAAUACCGGAUACGUUCUUUUCUCGCAUGAGAGAAGAUGGAAAGACGGUUUUGCUGUCACUUAUAGAUGGGCCCGCGGCGCAUUAGCUAGUUGGUGAGGUAAUGGCUCACCAAGGCGACGAUGCGUAGCCGACCUGAGAGGGUGAUCGGCCACACUGGGACUGAGACACGGCCCAGACUCCUACGGGAGGCAGCAGUAGGGAAUCUUCCGCAAUGGACGAAAGUCUGACGGAGCAACGCCGCGUGAACGAAGAAGGCCUUCGGGUCGUAAAGUUCUGUUGUUAGGGAAGAACAAGUACCAGAGUAACUGCUGGUACCUUGACGGUACCUAACCAGAAAGCCACGGCUAACUACGUGCCAGCAGCCGCGGUAAUACGUAGGUGGCAAGCGUUGUCCGGAAUUAUUGGGCGUAAAGCGCGCGCAGGUGGUUCUUUAAGUCUGAUGUGAAAGCCCACGGCUCAACCGUGGAGGGUCAUUGGAAACUGGGGAACUUGAGUGCAGAAGAGGAAAGUGGAAUUCCAAGUGUAGCGGUGAAAUGCGUAGAGAUUUGGAGGAACACCAGUG
rnacentral:rRNA from 1 species